GAUGAACGCUGGCGGCGCGCCUAACACAUGCAAGUCGAACGAUUAAAGCACCUUCGGGUGUGUAUAAAGUGGCGAACGGCUGAGUAACACGUGGGCAACCUGCCCCUCUCAUUGGGAUAGCCACGGGAAACCGUGGAUAAUACCGAAUACUUCGGGACUUCCGCAUGGAAGACUCGAGAAAGCUCCGGCGGAGAGGGAUGGGCCCGCGGCCUGUUAGCUUGUUGGUGGGGUAAUGGCCUACCAAGGCAAUGAUGGGUAGCUGGGUUGAGAGACCGACCAGCCAGAUUGGGACUGAGACACGGCCCAGACUCCUACGGGAGGCAGCAGUGGGGAAUCGUGCACAAUGGGCGAAAGCCUGAUGCAGCGACGCCGCGUGCGGGAUGAAGGCCUUCGGGUUGUAAACCGCUUUCAGCAGGGACGAGGCGAAAGUGACGGUACCUGCAGAAGAAGCCCCGGCUAACUACGUG
rnacentral:rRNA from 1 species